rnacentral:rRNA from 1 species
UUGACCUCGGAUCAGGUAGGGAUACCCGCUGAACUUAAGCAUAUCAAAAGGCCGGAGGGAA